rnacentral:rRNA from 1 species
GACGAACGCUGGCGGCGUGCUUAACACAUGCAAGUCGAACGGAAAGGCCCUGCUUUUGUGGGGUGCUCGAGUGGCGAACGGGUGAGUAACACGUGAGUAACCUGCCCUUGACUUUGGGAUAACUUCAGGAAACUGGGGCUAAUACCGGAUAGGAGCUCCUGCUGCAUGGUGGGCGUUGGAAAGUUUCGGCGGUUGGGGAUGGACUCGCGGCUUAUCAGCUUGUUGGUGGGGUAGUGGCUUACCAAGGCUUUGACGGGUAGCCGGCCUGAGAGGGUGACCGGCGACCUUGGGACUGAGAUACGGCCCAGAGUCCUACGGGAGGCAGCAGUGGGGAAUAUUGCACAAUGGGCGGAAGCCUGAUGCAGCAACGCCGCGUGCGGGAUGACGGCCUUCGGGUUGUAAACCGCUUUCGCCUGUGACGAAGCGUGAGUGACGGUAAUGGGUAAAGAAGCACCGGCUAACUACGUG